rnacentral:rRNA from 1 species
GAUCCUGGCUCAGAGUGAACGCUGGCGGCGUGCUUAACACAUGCAAGUCGAACGAGAACGGAUUAUAGCUUGCUAUAAUUGUCAGCUAAGUGGCGCACGGGUGAGUAAUGUAUAGGUAAUAUGCCUCUUACUAAGGGAUAACAAUUGGAAACGAUUGCUAAUACCUUAUAUUCCUUUUUAUCAAAAGAUAAAAAGGGAAAGAUUUAUUGGUAAGAGAUUAGCCUGUAUUGUAUCAGUUAGUUGGUGGGGUAA